rnacentral:rRNA from 1 species
GACGAACGCUGGCGGCGUGCUUAACACAUGCAAGUCGAACGGAAAGGCCCUGCUUUUGUGGGGUGCUCGAGUGGCGAACGGGUGAGUAACACGUGAGUAACCUGCCCUUGACUUUGGGAUAACUUCAGGAAACUGGGGCUAAUACCGGAUAGGAGCUCCUGCUGCAUGGUGGGGGUUGGAAAGUUUCGGCGGUUGGGGAUGGACUCGCGGCUUAUCAGCUUGUUGGUGGGGUAGUGGCUUACCAAGGCUUUGACGGGUAGCCGGCCUGUGAGGGUGACCGGCCACAUUGGGACUGAGAUACGGCCCAGACUCCUACGGGAGGCAGCAGUGGGGAAUAUUGCACAAUGGGCGGAAGCCUGAUGCAGCAACGCCGCGUGCGGGAUGACGGCCUUCGGGUUGCAAACCGCUUUCGCCUGUGACGAAGCGUGAGUGACGGUAAUGGGUAAAGAAGCACCGGCUAACUACGUG